CCUACGGGAGGCAGCAGUGGGGAAUUUUGGACAAUGGGCGCAAGCCUGAUCCAGCCAUGCCGCGUGCGGGAAGAAGGCCUUCGGGUUGUAAACCGCUUUUGUCAGGGAAGAAAUCCUUUGGGUUAAUACCUCGGAGGGAUGACGGUACCUGAAGAAUAAGCACCGGCUAACUACGUGCCAGCAGCCGCGGUAAUACGUAGGGUGCGAGCGUUAAUCGGAAUUACUGGGCGUAAAGCGUGCGCAGGCGGUUAUGCAAGACAGAUGUGAAAUCCCCGGGCUCAACCUGGGAACUGCAUUUGUGACUGCAUAGCUAGAGUACGGUAGAGGGGGAUGGAAUUCCGCGUGUAGCAGUGAAAUGCGUAGAUAUGCGGAGGAACACCGAUGGCGAAGGCAAUCCCCUGGACCUGUACUGACGCUCAUGCACGAAAGCGUGGGGAGCAAACAGGAUUAGAUACCCUGGUAGUCCACGCCCUAAACGAUGUCAACUGGUUGUUGGACGGCUUGCUGUUCAGUAACGAAGCUAACGCGUGAAGUUGACCGCCUGGGGAGUACGGCCGCAAGGUUGAAACGUCAAAGGAAUUGACGG
rnacentral:rRNA from 1 species